UACAGAGGGGGCAAGCGUUGUUCGGAAUUACUGGGCGUAAAGGGCGCGUAGGCGGCCUUCUAAGUCGAACGUGAAAUCCCUGGGCCCAACCCAGGAACUGCGUCCGAUACUGGAAGGCUUGAAUCCGGGAGAGGGAUGCGGAAUUCCAGGUGUAGCGGUGAAAUGCGUAGAUAUCUGGAGGAACACCGGUGGCGAAGGCGGCAUCCUGGACCGGCAUUGACGCUGAGGCGCGAAAGCCAGGGGAGCAAACGGG
rnacentral:rRNA from 1 species